AGUGGCUCAGGAGGAUGGGGCCAAGUCGUGGGUCGUGGCUGUGAAGAGCAGAACGUGCCAGGAUACUGGACUCCAGAAGGAAGCCUGAGAGUGGUGUCUACCGCUGGGCUGAGACCUUGGAGUAAAUGGCAGUAAAAGCUCAGACCUCUGAGUCCUGGAAGCUCUAAAAAACAGACGGCGCAUUGAAGAUUUCUGUGACUGAGCAGGCUUUUCCUCCUGGAACUGCUUUUUUGACACGUUUUCCCCCUGAACCUUGGUCUGAGUUUGUCCACUGACCGGGUCAGGACCCCUUGUGAUUGCGGGGGGCAGCCUUGCUCCUAGGUGCAGGGAUUGACUCUGGCCCUUCUGGGCCACCGUACCUCAGAGGUCUGGGCGGGAGUUUGGGCUGCCCCCAGGUCACAACCUCUUCUCCUGCGCACUGUUACUGCGGGCAGGUCGAGGUCCCCAGUGAUGAUAGAGACGGAGGCUGCAGGAUGGAUGGAUGCUUUCGUGUUACUGCCAGGUUACUCAAGAUUGGGGCAAUCUGCGCAACAGGACCAGGGGUGCCAGUCCUACUGAUAUCCAUAGCGGCAGAAGCGCCCUCGUUCUUAGGUCCGCCGGCCGCCCCACCCAGCAUGAAUACAGACUGCUGCUGCUUUUCCUCCUCCUCCUAGCCCAGAGGGGCGGUCAAAAUGCCAGGUUUUCAGAAACGAGGCACUCUGCCGCAAACACCGCCCAGGUAGAGCCAGAGUUAGCCGAGCAAGGAAGAUGGGUGGACGCUGGUUGAAUCUCUGCUUCUGAUUGGUGAGCUGGGCCUCACAUGACUUCUCAUCUUCCGGGAGCGGUCCAACCCAGAUCCUCUGGCGGCAAAGAGCAUCGUGUGCGCCAUUGCUUUAGGAUCCGCCCUGGACUGAUGAAGAAAUUAAGGCCCAGGAAGCUGAAGUGUUUCUCAAAGAUCAGACCAUUAUCUGAGAGAGAGGUGGUCUCUGCGCCUGCUGCACUCUGCUGAUCUGAAGCCACACCGCCCAGCGUGACUCCUACCUGCUUGGUUUUCUGGAGAGCUACUGGAAAAGUUCCUGCCAAGGAUUUGAUUUGGCAGUGACCCUGAAAGGAGCAAGCCGAUGCUUGUAGAAACAUCAGGGUUCAUCUGAUUGUCUUCUCUGGCAUCAUCAACACUUUGGUUCCCAAUGAACAAGGGUUCUGUUAAUGGCUCAAGAUGGAGAUGAGCGCUAAGUGACGUGAAAUUAUGGGUCUUUUCUCAAACUGACCUCGAUAAUUAUGUCAACUAUUCUCUUUUGCUUGUGAAUACCUGUGCUGUCACUGAACCGUCUAUUAUAUCAUUUCUUAAUACAGCGAGUGCUCAGUGUGGGGCUCAUUUCUGAUGUGCAGGAAAAGGCCGCUAACAAUCUUGAUGCCAAUUCUUCCAUCUUAUAAUUGAGAUUUACAGUCUAAAAAUAAAAUUCGCUUUUUUGUUCUGUAUGUGCUAUGCAGUAUGAGUGCUUGAGAGUGGUGAAACUCACAGUCCUUAAUUUUUUUUUUUAAUACAGGAGAAAAGGAAAUAGUAGAAAGAGAGGAAAAAUAAAAUAGGGCAAGAGGAAAAAAGCUACAGUAAUUAUUAUUUUGCUAAAAUGUAAUCUUGGUCGUGGAGAGAAAGAGAUUGGUUUUGGAAAGUCUGGAAGAAGAAGUAAAGUAAUUCCAAAUGGACAAUAUGGUGAGAAUAAAAUUCCUGAGUUACAUGACUGUUAGCUGUGUUUUGGAAAUAACGGUAGACCUAUUUUAUAUGGGCACAUGGGGAGAUAAAAUUCCAGAAGUGAUUUUUACUCAGUAAAGAUCUGACACUAAGGAAUUUAGACUUGGUCUUGAAGGGAUUGGGAAGAUACACGUUUUGAACAGGAUGACGUGAUCAAAGUACUAUGUUAGAAGGUUAAUUUAGAAGUAACCAUGAUCAAUCAGGUUGAUAUGGAGAUUAAUUAGAGGCAAGAUAGUAAAUUGAAAAGUUUUUGCAACAAUCCAGCUGUAUAGCUGCAGGAUCUGAACCAGAGUUGGAGAACUGGAAACAUCAGGAAAGAGAAAGCUGGGGGAGGCAAUUCGAAGCCAACAGUCAGGACGAAACUUGGCACCUCACUGAAUUCGGGGAAUGAGGUAGGGAGAAAAGUUGAAAAUAGCAUGGAAACUCAGUCUCUAAGACCGAGACAAUGGUGAUAAAAUGAAUUCAAACUAAGAUCAGAAAUUACAGGGCUGUCAUGGGAAGCAGAAGUCUAUAUAACAGUCAAUAGGAUGGGGAGGUGAUGAAUUCAUUCUGAGGAAUCUUCGGUUUAUACUUACCCCAGUGGAGACGGCCGGAAGUACCAUUCUCAGUUAUCUCCAUGGAUAUAAACAGGAAAAUCCACUAUUAGGAAUAAAAGGGCCGGAGACCAGCAUAGAAUCAGUUGUGAACAUUACCAGAAAGAAGAUCCAAAUGCCCAGGUCCAUUUGGUGGUGGGUUAAAUAAUAAGGGAGGCAAUACAGCAUCACACCAGGAGAAAUAGAGAGUCUUUACUGAGUGUGUACGCGGCAUACUAAGUGCUUUGGUUGCACACUUCAUUUAACACAAUCAUUAUGCUUGGUGGUAGGACCCUCACUUUAGAGAUGAGAAAAAUGGCAAUCAGAGAUUGUAUUUUAUUCUCGUCAAUUUGAAGAGAUUUACUGAAUAUACUGCUAAGGGAAAAAGUGGGCAGGACAAGGGAGUCUGCCCCAGGGCUCUCUCUUUAAGGGCACUGGCUUGGAGUGAGUUAACCAAGACUUCUCAAGAAGCAGCAGUGGGUUUUCUAAUUCCAAGGCGCAUGUUUUUAAGUGGACUGUCAGUAACUUUAUCUUAGCGUACUUGGGCAAGUCAACACGGGCAAGGUAACUUCUCAGAACCUCAGUUCCCACAUCUGUAAGGUGGGAAUGAUACCUUUUAAUUUAUGUGGUUGCUGUAAGAUUAAAAUAACACAAAAGAAUUGUGUAAAUUGUUGUGUGGGGGGACAGAUUAGUUAUUUGUGCGUGAUGAUCAGCACACUGCUUUAACAACGCGUAUGAACCAUUCUGCUUGGAAGACAUAGCUAUGAAAUGACUGAGGUGUGGGUGACAUUCUCUAAUAAUCUGACUUAAAAUCUCCAAAAUUAUCUCUUCUUGGGCAAAAAAUAUUUCUUCUCCUCGAAUUAUUUAUGCAAAGUGGAACAACAAAUGGUUGUCUACUCUGCUGAGACAACAAGUUUUAAGAAUCAUUUCAAAUCUACUAUGAAAUUCCCUCAUCUCCAAACUUAAAAAUCCUUGACUAUAUUAUGCUAACAUACCUCCUUCUUAAAGACCGCACUCCCAUCCUGAGUGGAUAGCAAAUGCUUAUUUUAAAGCCUUUAGCACUUUACAAACAUGCCCGGACUUUCAAAAUAGUGGUUACCAUUUUGUUCCAUGAUACUGUGUCUGUCUUCUGUGAAACCCCACCACAUUCAAUAGCCAUAUGUAUGUUAAUGAAAGAAUAAUCAUGACAACUAAUAGCAUACACGAGCCAUGUCAGCGCUCGACCAUCAGAGCAAAUGAAAACAAAACUGCGUACAGACAAUAUGAAUCAAGAUCUGAAGCUUCAUGGUUCUUAACCAGUUUUAUGUUAAUGAAACAAUUAUUAGAACACACAAAACCCUUCCUUUUUAAUUUGAUAAAUUGAGUGGUGAUGUGAGUUAAUUGAACCAUUGGUGAGAUAAUAAGAUGCAAUUGGUAUGAUUUAUCAGAGGAUGACAUGGUUACAGGCAUUGCUUCCACAGAAAAUAAUGGCUGCUAUUACCACUUCCUGAGGUGAGCAGGUAAGCCAUAAACCUAGGUUAUUGCUACAUAGGUCAGGAAGAUGAGGGUCCAUUUUGACUUUCAUCCAAGUGAAUAUUUUAAGGCUGUGUUUUUAGAGGCAUGCAUACCAAUUUUGUACUUGUUUUCCAUUUUUCAUAAACAGUGUCAAUACUGAGUUUGUUUAGGCUAUUCCAUAAUCUUAAUCUACUUAGCUAGGUAUUGAAGAGAAAAAAAAAAACAUGUUUCCAAGAGUUUUGAGUUCUAAUGUGGGUAAUUAAAGGGUCAUCAUGGGUUGUUCUAAGUCAUGUUAUCUUGUAGAGACAUUUUCACAAGCUGUUAUUUUAGCAGAAUAAUCCUCUAGGGUUCUGCAGCUUAAAACGCAGGGCCUAUGCUUUUUCAUAUGUGAUUCAGAGAGAAUAUUACAUGCUACCCACCUUCUAGUGGGGGAGAAAGAAACGAUCACAAAGCCUGUUGGAGUGUACCAAAAAAAAUAGCACUCACAUUGCUAUAUUUUUUAUAUCUUAAAUGACCUCAAAAUUUUUAAAAGUAAAAUCAGUGUCAUUGAAUAUAGGAGACGAUAUAGUUCUACCAUGUAAAGAUACUGUAAAAACACUUAGCAUAUAUGUUCACACUGUGAAAAAUUAAUCCAGGAUCAGGGAAUAAGCUUGUGCCUAUGCUGGGAAGGAUAUAUCUUAAACUAUCAAUUAAACCUCCAUUCUUCAGUAAUUUUAUAUUCAUUUGUUGAAUUUCUUGUUUUAAAAUUCCAUUUAUACACAUCUUGGCAUUUUUUGUGUGUGUGAACACACAUACACGAUAGUUUAAUUCUUACAACCACUUCUGAUGUCAGUAUGAUAAAUCCAAGUUUUGAAGAUGAAGUAAGAUGUGCAGUGGUCACACUGAUGAUAAAUAAUGAGAAACUGUUGAGAGGGAAAGACAGGACAAAUCAAGGACAACAAGUGUGCACUAGGACUGCUCUGGGAUCUGAAAAUACAGUGACCCUAGGUGAAAGACUCAUAAAAAUUAAGACGUUUUACCAAGGUAAUAGUGCAAGAAAGGGGCAGAGCUGCAUUUGGUUCCAUGUCUUUAGGACUUCACAUUUUUUCCUACACUUUCCCAGUAGAUUUGGUGAUUUUCUUGACAUGAUUAGAUGGAGGCAAGUCAGAGAGGCUUCCUGCAAUAUACCAGUGCUAAAGGGGAUGCCAGGUCUUGUUUAUCUCUGUGUAUCUAACUUGAAACACAUCAGGUCUUCAAUAAACACUUGUGGGUCUGAACCAGAUUGUACUGCUUGACACCUCCUCGCUUAGGAUGCAUUCCCGUUCCUUUAGAUGGUAAGGAUUUUUCGAUCUUUGAGAAUCAGUGAAUGAUUAGAACAGUAUAAACAUAAACCCAAGGAGAUAUAUAAUCAGACUGGCCAUCCCUUCAUUUCAAUUAAUCUUGGUUUCCAACAAUCUGGGCAGAAAUUCCUCCCCCCCAAAAAAAAAUGAUGCUGACUGUCAGAGAAUUUCUAGGCUUAGAAGGGAACAGAACACUGUCUAGGGAGGUAGCCAAAGAGUAGCACUGGUCUCUUUCUCAUUCUUGAGAUGGUCAAUCUCAUGCCAGUUUUUUCUUUGUCCAUUUUCACACCUUCACUGGUCACACAUUCAAUGCAAUUUGGAACAUUUUCCUUUUAUAGGACCAACUGGUUGACAAAAAGCUUAAAUUGGGUUAAUCACAUUAAACAAUGAAACAUCAUCUGUAAAUGAGGAGCUAGGAAGAGGCCACUCUUGGUACGACAUUCGGCCACUGCCUAAUAAGAUAGGGAAAAGAUUAAGGAAAACAAACCAGGCGUUAUAAUCAUGAUACAUGGAAUAAAACCACAUCCACAUCAGUAACUUCAUUUUCAGGACCUCACAUCUCCCACCUGUAGUUAGGUCAAUUAGCUUAGAUCAUAUAACAUUUUAAAAUAGUUCUCAUAUUGCAUUAUGUUGUAAAUUAGAUGCAGUUGGUAACGCACUAGAAUUCUUACUGUUAACAUAUGAGGAAACCUCCAUCGCCUUGAUUCCUUGGCACAAAUCACCAGGACCCGGAAUGUUAUCCCCUCUCUAAAAGAAAGGAGAGUUUCAAACAUUAAUUUUCCAUAUUGCUAUCAUAUUAAUAAGAGCUAUAAAUAAAAAUUAAAUUUAAGAAUUACAGCGUGGAAAAAUCUCUACAUUCCUACAUAUUUAAAUGUUAGGAAAUAUUUCUGGAAGUAAUUUCUGGAGGUAUUUUGCUACAUUAUCGGGUUGUCAAGAUGACGAAUUUCCACUUAAUAUUUAAUUCUAUUAUUUCUCAAUUGUUCCCUCACGCCCAUCCUCAUUCCCCAGUGACUUACUUUGAAUUCUAACUUGCCACAUUACCUAGUGGUGGUGGUAUGUUAGGUGUAUUCCUUACCUUUUCUGAACUUAUUUAUGAAUCUGCAAAGUGGGGGAAAUGACAUCUCCGCCUGUCUGAGAAGAAAGGGUAAGCUUUCAUUUUAACGUGAAUGUAAAUAAAGCUUUUGGACCAACAUUUAAAUGUAGAAAGGCACUACACUAUAGCCCUGAUUUAUGAAUCAGAUCUUAGCUACUUAUUCCUAGGUUAGUUCUUCAUAAGAGUUCUUAGACACUUUCCGACGUUAAUAAGAACUUGAGAUGUAUCGUUCUGAAACAUUGAAGGAUUUUCUACCCAUGUUUGAAAGAAGGACUGUUUACGGAUUACAGUUUUCUGUUACUAAUAAUAUUAUCUUUUUUCAUCACAGGACAGGGACUACAGAAAUACAGAUUAAGAUUCAAAUUUCUUUUUUUUUUUUUUGCUUUCAUUUUUAAAUUUAAAACAAUUAUUUAUAGUUGAUUUACAAUGUUCUGUCAACUUCUACUGUACAGCAAAGUGAUUCAU